rnacentral:rRNA from 1 species
GGCGCUUCACACCCACCUAGAGGAGCCUGUUCUAGAACCGAUAACCCCCGUUCAACCUCACCUUCUCUUGUUUUCCCCGCCUAUAUACCGCCGUCGUCAGCCCACCCUGUGAAGGUUUAACAGUGGGCAAAACUGGUACAACCCAAAACGUCAGGCCGAGGUGUAGCGCAUGAGGAGGGAAGAAAUGGGCUACAAUUGCCAAAACAGCUAAAACGAAUUGUUGCGCUGAAACUGCAAACAUGAAGGAGGAUUUAGAAGUAAGAGGGCAAGUAGAGUGCCCCCCUGAAGCGGUUCUGAAGCGUGCACACACCGCCCGUCACUCUCCCCAAGAUUAGAGACCUAAAACAGUUCCUAAACACCCCGUUCUACAAAGGGGAGACAAGUCGUAACAUGGUAAGUGUACCGGAAGGUGCACUUGGAAUAAAC